rnacentral:rRNA from 1 species
AUUGAACGCUGGCGGUAUGCUUAACACAUGCAAGUCGAACGGUAACAGGCCUUCGGGCGCUGACGAGUGGCGGACGGGUGAGUAACGCGUAGGAAUCUGCCUCAUAGUGGGGGACAACGUGUGGAAACGCACGCUAAUACCGCAUACGCCCUACGGGGGAAAGCGGGGGACCUUCGGGCCUCGCGCUAUGAGAUGAGCCUGCGUUCGAUUAGCUAGUUGGUAGGGUAAAGGCCUACCAAGGCGACGAUCUAUAGCUGGUCUGAGAGGACGAUCAGCCACACUGGGACUGAGACACGGCCCAGACUCCUACGGGAGGCAGCAGUGGGGAAUAUUGGACAAUGGGCGCAAGCCUGAUCCAGCAAUACCGCGUGUGUGAAGAAGGCCCUAGGGUUGUAAAGCACUUUCAAUAGGGAGGAAAACCUGUCGGUCAAUACCCGGCAGCUUGACAUUACCUAUACAAGAAGCACCGGCUAACUCCGUGCCAGCCGCCGCCGUAACAC